UUCAACAUGGAAUGCAGUGUAUCCACCCCAAAAGUCUCACGCUUCUUCCUUCUUCCCUCAUCUUCCACAGAAAAAUAUGAAUCACGCAUAGCGACAUGAGCAGCGUCAGUCCAUCUCAGCAUCACAGAAACUGCCUUCUCCUUGGAAGCGUACAUCUCAUCAGACCUUUCCUGGCAUGACCAACCUUCUCCUGUUACUCCUUGGCUUGUCUGCAGCACAAGAGCAAGAGAGAAACCAUGCACUGAUAGUUGAUUCUUCUUCCUCUCUUCCUGAUGGAUUUUAAAGUGAAGGACCAUUCGAGCAGGACAGUACCUCAUGCAGUUGUUCCUAAGAGAUGCCAGACACAAGCUGGAGAGGAAGCCAAACAUCUGAGUCUGCCACCGGGCUUACUGGUUUGAGCAUCAGCAUCAGCAAAAACCAACUUGGCAGAGUCCAUCAACCCAGACAGAUUCAACAGUUUGUGAUCUGAAAGCUAUGCCGAUGAAAGCGUCUAAGAAAUCGUAGAUCAGUCGUUUGAUAGGCCGUAUAUCGAAGCGUCGAGCUCUCAGACAAGGAACUCGAAAGCAACAAACAGAUUGAUAUGAAAGCUGUCGGAGAUGGUUCGAUCGAAGGCACAAGGAGGAGGAACAGAAUAGUGAGCGGUGCGAGACCGCCGCAAGAGACAAACUAUGGAGCCACUUCUUCGAACUAUUUCAGCGUGGAGUCAUUCCUCAUCCUCAUCUGCCUCACCAUGUCGCUGUUGAUACUUCCUCUCGUCCUGCCUCCGCUGCCCCCUCCACCUUCCAUGCUAUUGUUGCUUCCCGUAGCCAUACUAGUCUUACUCAUGAUCCUUGCUUUUAUGCCCUCGGACAUCAGCAACAUGGCCUCCCCUUAUCUGUAAAUAAGCAAGCUGUGAAUUAGCACAAGAUAUAUAAGAUAAUGAAGCCUUUUGUGUGGUUAGCUUCAACGCUAGGCUACAUUGGAUAUUGCAGACAUGUGUUCAUGUUCGAAGGUGCAAUUAACUUACUAUUUCUUGUCC